UGCUUAUUCUUAAGUGAGAUAGGAAAAAAAGCUUAUUCUUUAGUUUUCUAUGUUGUGUCAUGUGUACUUUUGUUGAAUUGAAUUGUGGCAAGUUUGUUGACGCAUUCUACCUUCUGUUGAAGAUUGUAAUGCUUCAUGCAUACACAUACUCUUCUCCAUGUGAAAUCGUUUAUAAUUUGGGGAUAUCAUCCCUAAGAAGGUC
rnacentral:lncRNA from 1 species